rnacentral:rRNA from 1 species
UACGAACCGAGCGAACGUUGUUCGGAAUCACUGGGCUUAAAGGGCGCGUAGGCGGGCUAUCAAGUCUGGGGUGAAAUCCCACGGCUCAACCGUGGAACUGCCUCAGAUACUGACGGCCUCGAGGGAGGUAGGGGCAUGCGGAACUGUAGGUGGAGCGGUGAAAUGCGUUGAUAUCUACAGGAACUCCGGUGGCGAAAGCGGCGUGCUGGACCUCUUCUGACGCUGAGGCGCGAAAGCUAGGGGAGCAAACGGG